rnacentral:lncRNA from 1 species
CUUAAAAUAACACCUUAACUUCAAAUGUCAAUCAUUUUUUCAUGCUAAUUUCAAACUUAUUAAUUUUUUCAUCUAAAUUAUAGUCCAAAUCUUAAACCUUACAACUUUAGCUUUACAUUCUCAAAUGUCCUUCUUAUGUUGCCAAAAAUUCUUCUUAUGGUAGCAAACUACCUCCUAAAAGUCUAUUGGGCAUGGCCUUCGACCAAUAGGAUUGAAGAUCUUCACCCUCUGCCUUCAUCCAUCCAUACUUUAUUUUCAUCCUUCUACACAAGCUUCCUACUAGUUUAGAUUUUCAUCUUUAGGCUUUAAUCUCCUCUCAAGGCUUCAUAUUAAAUAUUUAGGUCCUAUAAUUUUUUAAAUGCUAUAAUCAAAAUAGAUAAAAUUCAAAAUAAAAUUUCUUAUAUCCACUCUCUUUAUGUUAAUCUAUUAACCAUUCUAACACACACCAAGACUUAUGAACAUAUUAUAUGUUAUAAUUAAUUUUUACAUAUUAUAAGCAAUUACAAUAUGAUAUCAAUCCCCUCCAAACUUGCACAUUAUCCGACAUGUUUCAAUCUUAUCAUUUCUAUUCUCUUCAUCUCCAUCUCUUUCUGCAUCAUCUUCUUGGAUAGAUAUAAUGAUUCAAAAUUUAAAAGAUUACUUGAAAUAAAUUUUCCAUCUCUUUUUUUAAAUGCCUUGAUCUACUUUCUAGUUAUAGGUAUCUUCAACAUUGCACCAUCAAACUCAUGAAAUAUAUAUGUUUCAUUGUGUUCUAUUAUUGUAACUACAUAUGACUCAAACUAUCUUCAAGAAAAUUUCUUCUAUAUAUUAUAUUGGUAGUCAAAAGUACCAUUAGAAACCUCUAUUUAUAUAUCUUCUAUAUUAUUUGAAACUCUCAAUAUUUAUUUUUGGCUGAUAUCAAUAGAUCAUUUUUUCUUGUCAAAAAGUCUCUUCGACAUGAUUUUUUCAUCAGAGUCAUGAUUUACUAAAGCUAAAAUUAUAUCUUUAAGCUUUUUAAGCUUGGCCUUUUUUUAAAAUAGAUAAAAAUACUCCACCUUCUCUUCUUUGUAACACUCAAAGUUAUAGUUAUCAGUAUAAAUAAGUAUCUUUGUCUCCUUUUCAACUAUCUUUUCAUUUGAUAUUUCUUCAACCAUCCAU